GCAUUCCGCCUACCUCAUCUACACUCAAGCCCGCCAGUAUCAAUGGCAAUUUAGGAGUUAAGCUCCUAGAUUUCACCGCUGACUUAACAGGCCGCCUACGCACCCUUUAAACCCAAUAAAUCCGGAUAACGCUCGCAUCCUCCGUAUUACCGCGGCUGCUGGCACGGAGUUAGCCGAUGCUUAUUCAUACGGUACAUGCAGGGAGCCACACGUGGCUCUUGUUAUUCCCGUAUAAAAGAAGUUUACAAUCCAUAAGACAGUCAUCCUUCACGCGACUUGGCUGGUUCAGGCUCUCGCCCAUUGACCAAUAUUCCUCACUGCUGCCUCCCGUAGGAGUCUGGUCCGUGUCUCAGUACCAGUGUGGGGGUUCAACCUCUCAGUUCCCCUACCCAUCGUCGCCUUGGUGAGCCGUUACCUCACCAACUAGCUAAUGGGACGCAUGCCUAUCUCACAGCGAAUUUCAUUUCCUCUACUUUGGAUGCCCAAAGUGGAGUGUACGCGGUAUUAGUCCGUCUUUCGACGGGUUAUCCCCCUCUGUGAGGCAAGUUGCAUACGCGUUACGCACCCGUGCGCCGGUCGCCAUCAGUCUUAGCAAGCUAAGACCAUGCUGCCCCUCGACUUGCAUGUGUUAAGCCUAUCGCUAGCGUUCAUCCUGAGCCAGGAUCAAAA
rnacentral:rRNA from 1 species